ACAGCAAUGCUCUCCUGGGCAUGGUAAAUUGCCAUGGUGACACGGCAGCUUCAAGAUCAAGGGCCAUAUUGUGAUUCACCCUUCUUACUGUCACACUGGGAUGAAGGCACAAGGGAAUGAACACACGUGCUAAUACACUCAAUGUAGUCAAGUUAGAGGAAAGAUUGUACAGAUGGCAGCUCCUUUCUCACCACAUCAAUUUCUGACAGCGUGUGACUCAAUUGGAGGGCUGAGUCACCGAAGACCCACCAGAAACUGAGUGUAGAUACACACACAUUGUACCAAGGGGACACUUGCGAGAGAUGAUGCUGUCUGUGUCAAGGUCAGAAUAUAAAGAACUAGGUUUAUAUUUUCUGAACUUGUUCAUAGAACUCAGGACUCUUCGUCUUCCCUGGAACUGAUGUCUCCUAGUGACAUGAGAACCACUUUCAUUUCAUCAAGGAAAGUGCAACAAGUAACGGCGCGAUAAAACCACUCGAAGCGGCUUUUAAGCGUGCAAAGUUAACUGGCCCGCUCUUUUUGCAGAGGGAGAGGAUCAUUAGUCCUCACAGGUGAGCUAAUUAUAUAAAUGGGAAGCUGCAGCCUGCCAGGAACAAUCAGAGAGAGCGAAGCUCAGACGUGAAACCCUGAGCGCACACUGAAGAAACCAGCCAAAAGUUAAAUGGGUCAAGCCACUAAAUGUGUGAAAUGAAGUGAGAAUAAAUUUACAGGCACCAUUGAUAAGAGUAUGAGUAAAGAGGCAAAGGAGCUAAUGGGCAUGAAGCCUGAACUAUUCUUGUAUCCCUCUGUGUGAUCCUUCCAGAAUGGAGCGAAGGCAUUAUUAAUUGGCGAGGUUUUGGUGAAAAGAUGACACUCUAAAUUGAUUUAAGGUGCCCAGAAUAAAACACUGAUUAGCAAAGGAAAAGCAGAAAGGAGGGUGAGUUAAGGCUUCCUCAGCUCUUGAAUACUAACAAAAUCUAUCUCCUGAAACACUUAGUCAGACUGUAUCCUUCUUCCCCGGAGCAUGCCCCUGUGCAGAGAAAAUCCGGGUAUAGCUUCAGGAUGUCUGUGCAUUAUAAUCUCCAGUACUGUUUUGGUUCCAGUUCAGUACUGCAUCUGUGCCUUUUAAUUAGCCACAGCUGGCAUCGCUGGUGCUUAGAGGCAGCCACCUUCAGCACUGUUUGGUUAGAUCUCUGGAUCGACCUGGGGAGAACAAGCCACAUCGAGAUUCCUCUAGCCUGAAUCAAGAGCCAAGGAAGAAAAAGGGGAGAAAAAUCAACUUCUGUUGAGAACUUUGUUUAAAGUGCAUCCAUUCAUAAUUCAUGUAUUAGAUCUCGUGGACGCUUGUUGCAAUAAAUUAUUGACCAAUCUCUCUAUUACAUGUUGAUAUGCAGAGUCUGUCCUAGGUAAUUAUAAAAUGUCACUGCCAAAGUUAAGCCACAGGAAGGUUAAUGGGGCAUCCCAACACGUGCUUUAUAGUGAAAAUCAGCUACAGUAGCUUCUCUGUGAAAUGUUUAAAUUCAUUUCCCCCAUCCCCUCUGACAGUGGGUGUUUAGAAUGGAGUAGUAGAAGCACAGAGGCUGACCAGGAUACUGAAAAGCAAAGGGAUAUGAAACACACUUGCAUGUUAAUUCAUUUAUGUUCUGUAUUCAGAGCAUUAACCCUUAAAGCAAUCACA